UACGUAGGGUGCAAGCGUUAAUCGGAAUUACUGGGCGUAAAGCGUGCGCAGGCGGUUUUGUAAGUCUGUCGUGAAAUCCCCGGGCUCAACCUGGGAAUUGCGAUGGAGACUGCAAGGCUAGAAUCUGGCAGAGGGGGGUAGAAUUCCACGUGUAGCAGUGAAAUGCGUAGAGAUGUGGAGGAACACCGAUGGCGAAGGCAGCCCC
rnacentral:rRNA from 1 species